rnacentral:lncRNA from 1 species
AAAAGUGUUUCUAUUCUUAAAUCAAAGUUAAAGAAUCUUUUUGUGUAAAAUUUAUGUUUAAGCUUUAAAAAAAGAACUAAAACGUGUGCUUUUGAAUGGUUAGUGCAUACAAAGCUGAAUCUCAAUGUUAAUUUUGCAUUAGUAAUCUGUGGUUUGGAAACAGUAUAAAUUCACAUUCACUGUUUCUGUAAUUUGAUUUGUUAGUUUGUUAAAUCGAUCUGACUGUUUGAUUUAUUUAGAUGCACUAUUUUAGGUAAAUAAUUAUAAGAUUAUUUUUCAUAUCACAAAGUUGUAAAAUGAAUCGCACUCAUCAGUAUAUAUAUGCUUAACUGAAUCAUGAACUUAAAAAAAAGUCUGACUAGCUCCUCCCUAACAUGUGUUUCAGUAUUUUCCCUUUCUAGAUCCUUUGUAAAUGUUCUGUUUACAUGAAUGGAUACAUAAUGAUUGUUGAUUUCUUCACACUUCCAUUUUUAGGUAAUUGUCUUUAAAUCUGUAGACACCAUGGAUAUAGCCUUGGUUGUAAGAUUAGACAUUUGUGUGCAUUAUUUUGCUGUACAAACAUAUUUCAUUUAUUUUUUGGUUUUCUAAGUUACCUGUUUAGAAUAAUAUUUACACUCGUUUUGAUUAAGAGUUUUUUUGUGUUUAAUUAUUUUAAUAUUUAGUUGAAUAUUAUAUUAAAAAGACUUUUGACCUUUACCUAGAGAUGGACAAAAAUCACCAUUUAGAGUUAGUUAAUUUAGAGGUAACAUCUCUGUAUAUUCAUUAUACCAUGGACUCAGGGUAAAUAUUAUAGUAUAAACAAAUCAGUAUUGAUAAUGUAAAAGAAGAUACCAAAGAGAAGAGGGCAUACAAAAUCAAAGGAAAACACAGACAUCACUAUGGCCAAAGGAAAAAGUCAAACAAAUAAAUAAGUAAAUUCAGAAAUUAUUGUGCAUCCAUAACAACUGGCAAAUAUGAGAAAUCUAUCUAAUUUAUGCGAUUUAUUAAAUUUUAUGAAGAAAUAAC